rnacentral:rRNA from 1 species
AGUGGCAGACGGGUGAGUAACAUGUGGGUAUCUACCCUUUGGCCUGGAAUAACACGAGGAAACUUGUGCUAAUACCGGAUAAGUCUUUACGGAGAAAGCUUUAUGCACCAUUGGAUGAGCCUGCACUAGAUUAGUUUGUUGGUGGGGUAAUGGCCUACCAAGACUGUGAUCUAUAGCUGAUUUGAGAGGAUGAUCAGCCACAUUGGGACUGAGACACGGCCCAAACUCCUACGGGAGGCAGCAGUGGGGAAUCUUGCACAAUGGAGGAAACUCUGAUGCAGCGAUGCCGCGUGAGUGAAGAAGGCCUUUGGGUUGUAAAGCUCUUUCGUCGGGGAAGAAAAUGACUGUACCCGAAUAAGAAGGUCCGGCUAACUUCGUGCCAGCAGCCGCGGUAAUACGAAGGGACCUAGCGUAGUUCGGAUUUACUGGGCUUAAAGAGUUCGUAGGUGGUUGAAAAAGUUGAUGGUGAAAUCCCAGAGCUUAACUCUGGAACUGCCAUCAAAACUUUUCAGCUAGAGUAUGAUAGAGGAAAGCAGAAUUUCUAGUGUAGAGGUGAAAUUCGUAGAUAUUAGAAAGAAUACCAAUUGCGAAGGCAGCUUUCUGGAUCAUUACUGACACUGAUGAACGAAAGCAUGGUAGCGAGAAGGAUAAGAUACCCUCGUAGUCAUGCCGU